UCGUAUUUACUCGGAGCAUUUUGUUCUGUAACUGGAGAAGGAGAGGGACUGUCUGUUGGGAGUAGUUCCAAGAAGAGGAGGAGUAAGGAGGGGACAGGCCCUCCUCUCUGGCUCCCUGGCCUGCACUUGGGGCCACGGGUUAGAGGCUGCAGCCACGAGCAGGACCAGCUCUUGGUAGAGAGGUCUGGGGAGACCAGGGCACAAAAAGUUAUGCCUCAAGGCUCUGGGGACCCGGGAGCCCUGUCUUGGGGAAGAUGCCACCCUCUCAGCCUCUGGCAGCCCAAAGACUGGGCCUCUGGGAACCUCAGGAUUCACUCCUUGGCCUUGACACUGGCUUCCCCAUAAGGGCCAUAAUAAGGGAGGCAUGGGGGCAUUCAGGCAGCCUCAGGACCUUUGGCAAGUUCUAGAGCGGGAGCAGCUAUGACAGAGGGCUAGUGGUGGCUGCACCUGACAGGCUGGUCUGGGAGCGACACAAAUUCCCUUGGAGGGAUUCACAGGGACCCUUUUAGGUGGGGCGGUAGGGUGAGUUUUCAGGGGCUUUGGCUGAGGACCUGACAGGGCAGGAAAGGGCAAGAAGAGAAACUUUGGGGUUUGGGCCAAAAAGAUAUGUUAUUCUGAUCUGGGAGCUGACAAGGCCUGGCGACCUCUGGGCCCAGUGACCGAAGGGGAGCUUAUAAAAAACACAGGAUCACAUAUGCCUGAGGGAACAGUCCAGAACCUGGUCCCAGGUAAGGUCCUCAAAUCUUUGUUUUAUUUCAGCCACAAAGAAGUGUAGGUCCCUUGAUUCAUCCGGAAGAGGAAUUCUUCCAGAAGGAGAAUAUUCAUCUAGGAUGGGGCAGAAUUGGGAGAUAAGAGGUGCUGUGGGCUUUGUCAGCAGCCUGGGAGACGGGGGACAUGGAGGAUCACAGCGGCAGAUCUUAAAUCAAAGCCCGGGCCAUCCAUCUUCCAGAACAGACGGAAAUAACUAGGAAGCCCUCCCUGAAUGACCCUCCGAGGCGCCUCUGACUCCCAAGGCUGCCAAUGUCGGACUCAGUCACAUUGGUGGCAACUGCCUUUUGCUGCUUCAUUGGAUCCAAAUUCCCUGAGCAAAGAUCUGUUUUCUCCCUCCCACCUCCCCCUCUAGCAUUUGCCAGAGAGCAGAGCACACAGUAGGUGCUCACAAAACAUGCUUGUUGAUUGCCCGGGAGAUUCCCAGGUGUGAAACAGAAUGCUGGUUGUCCAGGUCUUUUGUCUAUUUCUGGCGUUUAAAUAGUCUUCCAACGGGGGAAAAAAAAUCCAAAUUCCACUCUGUCUUUACAUUACAACCCCACCAAUCUUCUCAUGUCAGUCAGAUGUAAAUUUCCCUCCUCUCCACCUGAAAUAGGCUAGAAUUUGAAAAACAAGGCGCUGGAUCUGAGAGGGCAAGAUAGAGAAGGUGCUUUCUAAACCCAGGCUGUUCUUGUCAGGCUGAAGAGCUGGGGAGGGAUUAGCUUUGGGUGAAAGGGAAGGUUCUGAUGGCUCGGCGCGGGGCUGUUAGAGGUUGGUUUUUGAUGGAGGGACAAAAGGGAUGUUAAAGCAUAAAGUCCUUGCUUCUGGAAAGUCAGCACUCUUGUUAGGCAUCCUAGAGCAUUGUCCCUCCUGGGGGGCGGGGGGUGGCAAGCGGGAGACAGAUGUGGUCACCUGGACGUCAGGACCGAGGAUGGGCACCACCAUCGCAUCCAGCUGUGGAGGGUGGAGGGCAGACACGGCUGAGGCCAGGCUGCUGCUGCUGCUGCUGCUGGUGAAAAACACACUGGAAGAUGAGCUUGGAUCGCACUGGAUCACAGGGCUUAACGGGGAUCCACUGCCAGACUUGCAGCCAUUGGUGGUCGUGGGAGAGUUUAUUAAUUACAAAUUUGCAGUUGUGACCAAGAUAAAUG